rnacentral:rRNA from 1 species
CCCUUAGAUGUUCUGGGCCGCACGCGUGCUACACUGAGUGGAUCAGCGGGUCAGGUUGCGCGAAAGUGUUUCCUAAUCUUUAAAUCCGCUCGUGAUGGGGAUUGACGGUUGCAAUUUUCCGUCAUGAACGAGGAAUACCUUGUAAGCGCGGGUCAUCAUCCCGCGCUGAAUACGUCCCUGCCCUUUGUACACACCGCCCGUCGCUCCUACCGAUUUCGAGUGGUCCGGUGAACCUUUUGGACUGAAUAGCAAUAUUCGGGAAGUUAAGUAAACCUAAUCACUUAGAGGAAGGAGAAGUCGUAACA